UUUCUUUUCAUCUGUCUCCCCUCUAUCUCUCUGCACCUCUUUCUUUUCUUCCAAAGUCUUUCCCUUUCCUUCGCCGCACUUCUCCUCUCUAAAACCUCUUUCUUUUCUUUUCUACUUCCUUCAUUCAUUGCUUUUCCCAAUUAAGCUAAUUUUGCUCGUAAAAAUCUCACCUUUUUAAUCUCAUCUUCUUUCCCCCAAGAAACUAGGGUUUCGUCAAAUGUUACCCCUUUUGUUAUACGUGAACUAUAUGAAAGGAAACUUAAAAAGCUCAACCCAGCAACUCAAAGCAUAACGUAUGACGUUGGUGUUCUUUACAAUUUUAUUGAUGGCCUUGCAGAUAUGAUUGCCCUCGUUCAAAAGGGACAAUUCAAAUGGAUGCCUUUUCACCAUGUGAUAAAAGAUUGUGAUUUUAGGAGGACAUUCACAAGGCCUUGGAGUCAUUGAAGAGUGGACAUCAAAAGGGAAGCUUUUAUUUUCUAUUGCAACUAUUUUUUAUUUUCUUUCAAUUCUCAAGUUUAGUUACUUAAUUAUAACAAUUUACAGCUUAAUCAAUCAUCAUUGAUUAGUUGCCAAGAAAUGGAACAAAUAAUCAAACACCAAAUAUUUGAUAAUAUAUCUGUAAAUCAGAUUUGUAAGGUUAGUUACUUGCAAUCACUUUAAGAGUUUUUACAA
rnacentral:sRNA from 1 species